ACGGGGCCCGGCACAAGCGGUGGAGUAUGUGGUUUAAUUCGAUGCAACGCGAAGAACCUUACCUGGUCUUGACAUCCCGGAGACCCUUAGGAAACUAGGGGGUGCUUCCAUCUGGAAGAAUCUGGAGGACAGGUGCUGCAUGGCUGUCGUCAGCUCGUGUCGUGAGAUGUUGGGUUAAGUCCCGCAACGAGCGCAACCCUUGCCUUUAGUUGCCAGCAGUUCGGCUGGGCACUCUAAAGGAACUGCCUACGCAAGUAGUGAGGAAGGCGGGGAUGACGUCAAAUCAGCACGGCCCUUACGUCCAGGGCUACACACGUGCUACAAUGGCCGAUACAGAGGGCAGCUACCUGGUGACAGGAUGCAAAUCUCCAAAGUCGGUCUCAGUUCGGAUCGGAGUCUGCAACCCGACUCCGUGAAGUUGGAUUCGCUAGUAAUCGCGCAUCAGCCAUGGCGCGGUGAAUACGUUCCCGGGCCUU
rnacentral:rRNA from 1 species